GGGGAAUUAGGGUUCGAUUCCGGAGAGGGAGCCUGAGAAACGGCUACCACAUCCAAGGAAGGCAGCAGGCGCGCAAAUUACCCAAUCCCGACACGGGGAGGUAGUGACAAUAAAUAACAAUAUGGGGCUCUUACGAGUCUCGUAAUUGGAAUGAGUACAAUUUAAAUCUCUUAACGAGGAACAAUUGGAGGGCAAGUCUGGUGCCAGCAGCCGCGGUAAUUCCAGCUCCAAUAGCGUAUAUUAAAGUUGUUGCAGUUAAAAAGCUCGUAGUUGAAUUUCGGAAUCUGUCCGUCGGUCGGGCUUCACUGUCCGUACUGGUGUGAUGGGUUUCUACCUUCUGAAUAACCGGCAUGUCAUUAAUUUGGUGCGCCGGGGAAGCAGAACUAUUACCUUGAAAAAAUUAGAGUGCUUAAAGCAGGCUAUCGCCUGAAUAGAUUAGCAUGGAAUAAUAAAAUAGGACGGCAUGGUUCUAUUUUGUUGGUUUCUAGGAUCACCGUAAUGAUUAAUAGGGAUAGUUGGGGGCAUUAGUAUUCAAUUGUCAGAGGUGAAAUUCUUGGAUUUAUUGAAGACUAACUUCUGCGAAAGCAUUUGCCAAGGAUGUUUUCAUUAAUCAAGAACGAAAGUUAGGGGAUCGAAGACGAUCAGAUACCGUCGUAGUCUUAACCAUAAACUAUGCCGACUAGGGAUCGGACGAUGUUAAU
rnacentral:rRNA from 1 species